rnacentral:rRNA from 1 species
GAUGAACGCUGGCGGCGUGCCUAAUACAUGCAAGUCGAGCGAACGGACGAGAAGCUUGCUUCUCUGAUGUUAGCGGCGGACGGGUGAGUAACACGUGGAUAACCUACCUAUAAGACUGGGAUAACUUCGGGAAACCGUAGCUAAUACCGGAUAAUAUUUUGAACCGCAUGGUUCAAAAGUGAAAGACGGUCUUGCUGUCACUUAUAGAUGGAUCCGCGCUGCAUUAGCUAGUUGGUAAGGUAACGGCUUACCAAGGCAACGAUGCAUAGCCGACCUGAGAGGGUGAUCGGCCACACUGGAACUGAGACACGGUCCAGACUCCUACGGGAGGCAGCAGUAGGGAAUCUUCCGCAAUGGGCGAAAGCCUGACGGAGCAACGCCGCGUGAGUGAUGAAGGUCUUCGGAUCGUAAAACUCUGUUAUUAGGGAAGAACAUAUGUGUAAGUAACUGUGCACAUCUUGACGGUACCUAAUCAGAAAGCCACGGCUAACUACGUGCCAGCAGCCGCGGUAAUACGUAGGUGGCAAGCGUUAUCCGGAAUUAUUGGGCGUAAAGCGCGCGUAGGCGGUUUUUUAAGUCUGAUGUGAAAGCCCACGGCUCAACCGUGGAGGGUCAUUGGAAACUGGAAAACUUGAGUGCAGAAGAGGAAAGUGGAAUUCCAUGUGUAGCGGUGAAAUGCGCAGAGAUAUGGAGGAACACCAGUGGCGAAGGCGACUUUCUGGUCUGUAACUGACGCUGAUGUGCGAAAGCGUGGGGAUCAAACAGGAUUAGAUACCCUGGUAGUCCACGCCGUAAACGAUGAGUGCUAAGUGUUAGGGGGUUUCCGCCCCUUAGUGCUGCAGCUAACGCAUUAAGCACUCCGCCUGGGGAGUACGACCGCAAGGUUGAAACUCAAAGGAAUUGACGGGGACCCGCACAAGCGGUGGAGCAUGUGGUUUAAUUCGAAGCAGCGCGAAGAACCUUACCAAAUCUUGACAUCCUUUGACAACUCUAGAGAUAGAGCCUUCCCCUUCGGGGGACAAAGUGACAGGUGGUGCAUGGUUGUCGUCAGCUCGUGUCGUGAGAUGUUGGGUUAAGUCCCGCAACGAGCGCAACCCUUAAGCUUAGUUGCCAUCAUUAAGUUGGGCACUCUAAGUUGACUGCCGGUGACAAACCGGAGGAAGGUGGGGAUGACGUCAAAUCAUCAUGCCCCUUAUGAUUUGGGCUACACACGUGCUACAAUGGACAAUACAAAGGGCAGCGAAACCGCGAGGUCAAGCAAAUCCCAUAAAGUUGUUCUCAGUUCGGAUUGUAGUCUGCAACUCGACUACAUGAAGCUGGAAUCGCUAGUAAUCGUAGAUCAGCAUGCUACGGUGAAUACGUUCCCGGGUCU